GUGGGGAAUAUUGGACAAUGGGCGCAAGCCUGAUCCAGCCAUGCCGCGUGUGUGAAGAAGGCCUUCGGGUUGUAAAGCACUUUUGUUGGGGAAGAAAAGACCGUGGUUAAUAACCGUGGUUCAUGACGGUACCCAAAGAAUAAGCACCGGCUAACUUCGUGCCAGCAGCCGCGGUAAUACGAAGGGUGCAAGCGUUACUCGGAAUUACUGGGCGUAAAGCGUGCGUAGGCGGUUUGUUAAGUCUGUCGUGAAAGCCCCGGGCUCAACCUGGGAAUGGCGGUGGAUACUGGCAGGCUAGAGUACGGUAGAGGAUGGUGGAAUUCCCGGUGUAGCAGUGAAAUGCGUAGAGAUCGGGAGGAACAUCUAUGGCGAAGGCAGCCAUCUGGACCAGUACUGACGCUGAGGCACGAAAGCGUGGGGAGCAAACAGGAUUAGAAACCCCUGUAGUCC
rnacentral:rRNA from 1 species